CCAAACAGAAUCCAGUGGUUAUUCCUGUGAAAUGGUCAGAGCUGGGCAGUGAAGGGCACCCAUCACCUUCCCUUUUGGAACACCACAAACUGCAUUCUGACUCUCCAGGUGUGUCUCACCUGGGGAUCCUAAAGGAGAAAAGAAUUUCUGGUGCAGAUGGGAAGGAAGUCCUGGAAUCCCAGUGUUUCCUGCAAGCUGAAGAUCCUGGAGUGUGACUCAAGUCCGUGGUGCUGCAGCCCAGCACAGGGAUGUCGUGGGCAGAGGUGGUAGCAACGAGGGCUCUCUUAUUUCCUUUGCUGCUUUGGAAGGACACAGACAAGCCUGACACCAGCUGCACCCCCAG